rnacentral:rRNA from 1 species
UACGUAGGUGGCAAGCGGUGUCCGGAUUUAUUGGGUUUAAAGGGUGCGUAGGUGGCUUUUUAAGUCAUGGGUGAAAGCCCGCAGCUCAACUGUGGAAUUGACUGUGAUACUGAGGAGCUUGAGUGCGGUUGAGGCAGCUGGAAUUGGUGGUGUAGCGGUGAAAUGCAUAGAUACCACCAGGAACACCGAUUGCGAAGGCAGGUUGCUAAGCCGUAACUGACACUGAGGCACGAAAGCGUGGGGAGCAAACAGG